rnacentral:rRNA from 1 species
AAAAAAACCCCAACCCCCCCCCAAACCCCCGUCUGAUCUCGGAAGCUAAGCAGGGUCGGGCCUGGUUAGUACCUGGAUGGGAGACCACCUAGGAAGACCAGGUGCUGUAGGUG